GCGUUGGCGGGGGCAGAAAUUUUUGACGGUUGUGCCUGGCACAUAACAGACACUCAAAAAAUACCUUCUGAAUAGACAAGCAUCAAAGUGCAAGGCAGGAGUGAAGUUGGAAUGGAAGAGCAAGGAAAUCUAGGAAAAGAGCUUCAAAAUCCUUUUAUAUGUAUCCAUCUAAUCCUUGAGGUGGGUAUGAGCCUCUUUUGGCGGUCGGCAAGGAUGGGAAAGAUGACAUGAUUUCACGACUCAUAAAGAAAGUGAUGGAGCUGUAGCUUGAAUUCUUUUACUUCAAAUCCACAAUGCCAUGCCUUGCUCCAGUGAAGGACGGACUGCUGUUCUGUCUCCUAAAACCCACACAGCUCGCCUGGAGCUUCAAAUGUGAGAACACAUUCCAGCUGCAGGAUCAGAGGACUUUUCCUACAGCCCAUAAGUGCCUGCAGCUCUAUCGGAUUUGCAAAUCUACAAAAGAGAGCACAUCCUAUUGUUCCCGGUUUUGAGUUUUUUUAAUAGUAUGUCUUGUAAAAUGCUGGUUGCUGGUGGACAGGGGUGUUUUACAGAUAGGUGUGACUCAGGAGGGGAAAUGGGUGGGCAGAGACAGCCACAAGGAAUUCCACACAUGAAGGAAAUGCUCCCACUUGUGUUUUCUAUUUGUGUUUUAAAUUUGGGGAGCGACUCACAGGCACUCAGCAAAAGUAACUAAUUAUAUUAACCUUAUCAGUAGUGAGGUUUCCUGGUCUCUCAUCAGACACUCAGCUCACUGGCUGGUAUUUAAUUGGGAGCCUGGUGGCCAGUGAAAACAGUGUGGGAUGAGUCACACUUUAACAAGUUUUUAUAGUACAGCAACCUUGCUGUAUAAUAGCCAGACAUUAUUAAAAUUCAGAUAUGGUACACUGACUUGUUUGUUUUCCUUAUUCACAUGAAACAGAUGCUCAGGACUCAUUUUACUUACACACAGUAAAUGAGGGUCAGCUGUGUUGAGGGAAGUGAGUACUUUGUUCUGGAAGGAUAGAUGUUGUAGCAAUUGUCUUGCUCUGAUUGUAUUUGAAAAGAAUGAAUGUUGUUAGUACAAUUUGGUAUUCUUCCAAUGCCUAGUUGGAGUUCAAGGGAUAUAAAACUGGGCGCUUGAGGAGUGGGAUGGAAAAGGAUGGAGAAGGAAGGUCAAAUAUGGCUUUGAAGGGGAUCAGCAGAAGCCAGAGGCCGCAGUGGUGAACACUCCUUGUGAAUGGCCCUUUGCACCCACGGCUUGGUGAACCCAGCAUGGACCGUGGAGAGAGGACCUGCCUAAAAACCAGAGACGGGGUUUGCCUCUCCGCAUCACCACUGGCUUGCUGCAUCAAGAAUCUGCCUUUCAGCUUCUUCACCUGAAACAAGGUGAUUGGGAUAGCUGGUUUUAUUUAUUUAUUUUUGAGGCCAUUCUAGCACUUUGUAAAGUCCAAGGGGGUGUGGUAUUGUAAUUCUUGGAAUAAUACAAUGAACAUCAGAUGCUUUGAAGUUUUCCGUUCGGUGGAUUCUGGGAUUCUUUUCUGAAUGAGUGAUUACUAGCCAACAGGAAUCUCAUGGUUCAACCUCAAACUCAAAAGUUAUUUCGGGGAUGGAAAAUGGUAAGAUUGGGGAAAAUCCUUCCACCUUCACCCCUGUGAAUUAGGAGUCUUGUUAAUUAGUAUACAUGAUUAAAUAUUGAGAUUUAUAGGCAUCAACUUGUGUGACCUGUGACAGUUGGGUAUCAAAACACGUUUAUCUGCAUUUCCACUAUCACUUUGCAAUUUAUUCAGUGGAGCUGUCCAAUGAUGACAACUGUUAUCAUCCUUUCUCCAAAAGGUAGCAAACGUCAAUAAUUUUUUGUCACAAACUGCCUUUAUUCGAGUCCCUCUCCCUCUCUCUCAUUGCUACAGGGUCAGGGACCCAUAUAGGUUUUUAAAAUCACCUCGUGGGCAAAUGUGGACGCUUUUGUACACUAUCCAUGAGUUAUAAGGUUGGUGGUGGUGAGGAUGUGAGGCUGGGUCUGGGAACGUGGGACUGUCUCCACACACGGUACAGUGUCAUAUGAAGGAAGGGAGCCAAUGGAGGAGAGGAUGGAAUUUCAGAAAUGCUGGCCAGUGCUCACAGUGUGGCCCUUGGGAGAACUGCCUUUCUUCAUCAGCAGUGACAUCCACACAUACCUGUAUGGUCUAUAAAUAUAGUAAAGGAGGGUCUGUGGAAUGAGGAAUGCAGUGAAUUAACUAAUGUGGAUAUAUGCUUUGUAAUGCAUACAAGGUGUUUGCAUGUGUGAUCUCACUGGCUCUCAGUACAGUUAGGCUUGGGUUCCACCAUUAUUUACCACCUAGUUUCCAUCUACUAUUUGGCAACUUAAAAAAGUGAAUCAGAGGAGUUAAAUGACCUGCCUUGGUCACUAAGCUCAUAAGUGGCAGAGUGGAGACUUGAACCCAGGGCUUCUGACCCCUAAAAUUUGUACAAUUUCCUUCUUUAUUAUUAUAUAUUUUUUUGAGAUGG
rnacentral:lncRNA from 1 species